rnacentral:lncRNA from 11 species
CCUAUCCUCAUUUUCUUUUCCUUUGCUGCAGAGUGUCACUCCUCCUGCCUGUCUUGUAUGGAAAAGUCCUCAGAGAACUGCACGGCAUGUGCUCCUCCUCAAGUCCUGCAUGGAGGCCAAUGUGUUUCUGAGUGUCCAGAAGGAAUGUAUCACCAGGAGGAACAAUGUUACUUAUGCCAUCCCUCUUGCAAGACAUGUACCGGGCCUUCAGAUGUUGAAUGUGCAGCCUGCCAGCCCUAUGCCACUUUCGCCAAUGGAAGAUGUAGAACUCCCUGCAAGGAAAAACAAUAUCUUAAUCUGGUGGGAUACUGUGUUGGUAAGUACGUGAAAAAUAUUGUAGCAGCUCCAGCACAAUUUCAUGUUAUCUAAAGUAUAUUCU